UUUCCGUAGGUGAACCUGCGGAAGGAUCAUUAAAAAAUUGGACUCCAUUGGUGAGUUCAUUAAUAAUCCCUACCCUUUGUGAAUUUGUUUGUUUGAAUAAUUUUUUUUCCAAAAAAAUUAUUGAAUGUCUUUCCUUGUUUUGGUGGAGCUUGUAAAGUGAAACCAGGCAGGGGAAUGGCAAACAAUAAUUAUUUUUGAAAAAGACCUUUUUUUAAAAUUAAACUUUUUGUAUUCAUUUGUCUAAAAUUAAUUUUUAUAAUAUAAAAACAACUUUUGACAAUGGAUCUCUUGGUUCUCGCAACGAUGAAGAACGCAGCAAAAUGCGAUAAGUAGUGUGAAUUGCAGAAUACGUGAAUCAUCGAAUCUUCGAACGCAUAUUGCACUUUUUUAGUUUACUAAAAAAGUAUGUCUGUUUGAGUAUCAGUAAAAUAUUCUCAUAAAAAACAUUGUUUUUUUUAUGGUUAUGAGUGUUUUACAACGAUAACAAGUUGUUUCACUUUAAAUUCUUUGUUAUCAAAAAAAUCAUUAAAAGCUAAUUUUAAAGAUUUUUUAAAUUGGAUAAAAUUUUCCCGUAAAAAGGAAUAACCUAAACAAUUUUAAAAAAUUAAAAUUGGUUUGAUUUUUUUGAAACCCAAAGGAAAAAAAAACGAAAUUAACUUGAUCUCAAAUCAGAUAAGAGUACCCGCUGAACUUAAGCAUAUCAAUAAGCGGAGGAAAAGAAACUAACUAGGAUUCCCUCAGUAACGGCGAGUGAAGCGGGAAGAGCUCAAAUUUGAAAUCUUCAAGGUUUUACCUUGACGAAUUGUAGUUUAAAGAAGUGUUUUCUGUUGGAGUUUUGGUAAAAGUUCUUUGGAAAGGACAUCAUAGAGGGUGAGAAUCCCGUAUUUGACCAUUAUCUCCAGCUUUGUGAUACACUUUCAAAGAGUCGGAUUGUUUGGGAAUGCAGUCCAAAAUGGGUGGUAAAUUUCAUCUAAAGCUAAAUACUGGCGAGAGACCGAUAGCGAACAAGUACCGUGAGGGAAAGAUGAAAAGAACUUUGAAAAGAGAGUUAAACAGUACGUGAAAUUGUCAAAAGGGAAGCGUUUGACACCAGUGUUGUUUUCUCGAAAAUCAAUUAAAAAAGGCCGGAUUUUGUGUUGUAUUGACUUUAUCAGCUUUCUGCACUCUUUUCUUGUCUUUUUUAAUGCACUUUUCGUUUAACAAGUCAACAUCAAUUUCUUUUGUUGUAAAAGGGUCAUUGGAAGGUGGCUUUCUUUUCGGAGAAAGUGUUUAUAGCCUUUGGCCUCUGCAAUCGGAGAGAUCGAGGUCUGCAGCGUAGAUCCUUCGGGGUUAGAUACAUUUGUGCUAAGUUAUAGCCUUUCAUAGACAACUUGUUGACUAUGAUCAGUCAUGUAGCUUACUCGCUUAUGCUAUUUUACCUACGCUUAGGAUGUUG
rnacentral:misc_RNA from 1 species